rnacentral:rRNA from 1 species
GGCUCAGAAUCAACGCUGGCGGCGUGCCUAACACAUGCAAGUCGAACGAGAAAGUGGGAGCAAUCCUGCGAGUAGAGUGGCAAACGGGUGAGUAACACGUGAACAACCUACCCUUGAGUGUGGAAUAACCUCGCGAAAGCGGGGCUAAUGCCGCAUAACAUCCCUGGGUUGCAUGAUCUGGGGAUCAAAGGCGCAAGUCGCUUGAGGAGGGGUUCGCGCCUGAUUAGCUAGUUGGUGAGGUAACGGCCCACCAAGGCAACGAUCAGUAGCCGGCCUGAGAGGGCGAACGGCCACACUGGAACUGAGACACGGUCCAGACUCCUACGGGAGGCAGCAGUGGGGAAUUUUGCGCAAUGGGCGAAAGCCUGACGCAGCAACGCCGCGUGGAGGAUGAAGGCCUUCGGGUCGUAAACUCCUGUCAGGGGGGACGAAGGUCGGGAAACCGGCUUGACUGUACCCCUUGAGGAAGCCACGGCUAACUCCGUGCCAGCAGCCGCGGUAAUACGGAGGUGGCAAGCGUUGUUCGGAAUUACUGGGCGUAAAGGGCGCGUAGGCGGCUUGGCAAGUCAGAUGUGAAAGCCCCGAGCUUAACUUGGGAAUUGCAUCUGAAACUGCUUUGCUUGAGUCCUGGAGGGGGUAGUGGAAUUCCCAGUGUAGCGGUGAAAUGCGUAGAUAUUGGGAGGAACACCGGCGGCGAAGGCGGCUACCUGGACAGUGACUGACGCUGAGGCGCGAAAGCUAGGGGAGCGAACGGGAUUAGAUACCCCGGUAGUCCUAGCCGUAAACGAUGGGCACUUGGUGUUGGGGGUAUUGAGUCCCCCAGUGCCGGAGUUAACACGUUAAGUGCCCCGCCUGGGGAGUACGGUCGCAAGACUGAAACUC